rnacentral:lncRNA from 1 species
CAACAAAUGUCACAAAAAAUCCCAUAAAAGUCCCCUAAAAAGUCCCCUUAAAUUCCGGAAAAAAAUCAGCAAAAAUUGGCACAAAAAUCCCAGAAAAUCUCAAAAAAUUCCAGGAAAAAUCAUGGAAAAAUCACCAAAAAUUGGCACAAAAAUCUGAAUUUAAACCCCACAGAAAUCCCAGAAAAAUCCCAGGAAAAUUCCCCAAAACUGCCAGAGAAGAUCCAAAGGUCACUCAGGGGUCACUCAGGGGUCACUCAGGGGUCACUCAGGGGUCACUCAGGGUCACUCAUUGGUCACUCAGGGGUCACUCAUUGGUCAGUGGUCACUCAGUGGUCAGUGGUCACUCAGUGGUCACUCAUUGGUCACUCAUUGGUCACUCUGGUCACUCUCAGUCCCUGCAGGUUCUGGAUCUCUCCCUGAACCCCCUGGGCAGCUCCAGUGGUCACUCACUGGUCAGGGGUCACUCAGGGUCAGUGGUCACUCAGUGGUCACUCACUGGUCAGUGGUCACUCUUUGGUCACUCUCUGGUCACUCUGGUCACUCUCAGUCCCCGCAGGUUCUGGAUCUCUCCCUGAACCCCCUGGGCAGCUCCGGUGGUCACUCAGUGGUCACUCACUGGUCAGAGGUCACUCAGGGUCACUCAUUGGUCACUCUCUGGUCACUCAGUGGUCAGUGGUCACUCAGUGGUCACUCUCUGGUCACUCUCUGGUCAGUCCCUGCAGGUUCUGGAUCUGUCCCUGAACCCCCUGGGCAGCUCCGGUGGUCACUCAGGGGUCACUCAUUGGUCAGUGGUCACUCAGUGGUCAGUGGUCACUCAUUGGUCACUCAGUGGUCACUCAUGGUCACUCAUUGGUCACUCUCAGUCCCUGCAGGUUCUGGAUCUGUCCCUGAACCCCCUGGGCAGCUCCAAUGGUCACUCAGUGGUCACUCACUGGUCACUCAGGGUCACUCAGUGGUCACUCAUUGGUCACUCNGAGCUAAAAAAUCCCAUUAUAAGCCCCAAAAAUUUAAAAGAAAUUUCCCCAAAAUUCCCCUAAGAAUGGCAAAAAAUCUUGGAGAAAAACUCCAAAGAAAUGUAAAAAAUUCUGGAAAAAUCCCAUUAAAAAUGACAGGAAAAUUAAAGGAAAAUCCCGAAAUAAACAAUGAAAUCCUAUAAAAACUCA